AUCCCUCCCAGCAGCAACAGUGGAUCCCAAACUGAACCAAAGAUGAAGUUCCUUUAUCUUCUGUGUGCCCUUCUCCUUCUCGGACUCCUGCAGGGCCCAGGAGUCACUGAAGCCGUCAACAGCUAUGAAGAAUGUGAAGUUCAUCGUGGUGCUGCAUGUUAUUCCAUCGUCUGUCCUCCUGGGACCAGAACUAUUGGGAGGUGCAAUUGGUACCAGAAAUGCUGCCAAAGUGUCCUUGACAAGUGAUUCCCCCCACUUGGAGAUGCUGAGGAAGCUGAGCAGUGAACAGCCUCGCCCCCUGCAACCACUUUCUCCUUUGUGCACAUCUUCCGGAAUCAGCUUUCAUUAGACUCCAGAAAUCUUUUUCCAGUGUCGUCAAACUCAGCAGUCACGAUAACUUGUUUUCUGAUGCUUUUUCCACUUUAGUACAUAAAUAAUUUUGCAAUGAA